UACGUAGGGUGCGAGCGUUGUCCGGAAUUAUUGGGCGUAAAGAGCUUGUAGGCGGUUUGUCGCGUCUGCCGUGAAAAUCCGGGGCUCAACCCCGGACUUGCGGUGGGUACGGGCAGACUAGAGUGUGGUAGGGGAGACUGGAAUUCCUGGUGUAGCGGUGAAAUGCGCAGAUAUCAGGAGGAACACCUACGGCGAAGGCAGCUCGCUGGGACGGUACUGACGCUGAGACGCGAAAGCGUGGGGAGCAAACAGG
rnacentral:rRNA from 1 species